AAUAAGCAAGUAUUACAGAAAAUAUGAGAGCAAUAACUUUUCACGUAAGAGCAGCAACUCGUGAAAAAGAGAGAGAAUGAAUUAGAUUUCUGUGUGUCUCAGGUGUGUUCUCUAGAGAAGUAAUUUGUCCUUUAUAUAGUCGUUGUGAAGGACCGUUGGAGUGAUGACAGAAUCUUGGUCAUUGAAGAAUAAUUAAUGUCAUUACUUCUAUU
rnacentral:lncRNA from 1 species